rnacentral:rRNA from 1 species
ACUGCGGAAGGAUCAUUAAUGAAUUCACUAUGGAGUUGUUGCUGGCCUCUAGGGGCAUGUGCACGCUUCACUAGUCUUUCAACCACCUGUGAACUUUUGAUAGAUCUGUGAAGUCGUCCUUCAAGUCGUCAGACUUGGUUUGCUGGGAUUUAAACGUCUCGGUGUGACAACGCAGUCUAUUUACUUAACACACCCCAAAUGUAUGUCUACGAAUGUCAUUUAAUGGGCCUUGUGCCUAUAAACCAUAAUACAACUUUCAACAACGGAUCUCUUGGCUCUCGCAUCGAUGAAGAACGCAGCGAAAUGCGAUAAGUAAUGUGAAUUGCAGAAUUCAGUGAAUCAUCGAAUCUUUGAACGCACCUUGCGCCCCUUGGUAUUCCGAGGGGCAUGCCUGUUUGAGUGUCAUUAAAUUCUCAAACUCACAUUUAUUUGUGAUGUUUGGAUUGUUGGGGGUUGCUGGCUGUAACAAGUCGGCUCCUCUUAAAUGCAUUAGCAGGACUUCUCAUUGCCUCUGCGCAUGAUGUGAUAAUUAUCACUCAUCAAUAGCACGCAUGAAUAGAGUCCAGCUCUCUAAUCGUCCGCAAGGACAAUUUGACAAUUUGACCUCAAAUCAGGUAGGACUACCCGCUGAACUUAAGCAUAUCAUAA